rnacentral:ncRNA from 1 species
UGCUACAAUAUAUGCAAGGAAGUCAGAAAAUGGAUCCAUAAACUUUAAGUGCUAGGCAUAGGGAUCCUAGUCUCGAACUUGUUGGCUAUCAAUGAAUUGUUCGAGUUGCUUCCGUGGCAAGAAUAGGUCACAGUGUGUUGGUUGGGAAACAAAUUGGGAAUAACUCCCUUGGAGUCCUUGCUCGGGCAUUGAACAAUCAACUUAGACUAAUAAUGACAAGGGGAAUCCGAUUGCUUAAAUAAAACAAAGCAUUGCAAUGGUCCCUAUGGAUGCUAAUACAAUAUGAUUGGAAUCCAGUGCUCUAAAUGUCAAUGUAAAGAAAUUCAAUCAAACAUUAGUAAACAGUGGAAGUAGCUAUGACUCUUAUGGUAACCAAAUGCCUCUUUAUCCAAUUAUUCAUGUGCAUGAAUGGAUUAAAAAGAUUUCAAUUGUCUCUAUCUAUUAUCAAGUGAUACCACAACCAAGGGAAUAGGCUUGA